rnacentral:rRNA from 1 species
GAUGAACGCUGGCGGCGUGCCUAAUACAUGCAAGUCGAGCGAACAGACGAGGAGCUUGCUCCUCUGACGUUAGCGGCGGACGGGUGAGUAACACGUGGAUAACCUACCUAUAAGACUGGUAUAACUUCGGGAAACCGGAGCUAAUACCGGAUAAUAUAUUGAACCGCAUGGUUCAAUAGUGAAAGACGGUUUUGCUGUCACUUAUAGAUGGAUCCGCGCCUCAUUAGCUAGUUGUUAAUGUAACGGCUUACCAAGGCAAGGAUGCGUAGCCGACGUGAGAGGGUGAUAGGCCACACUGGAACUGAACCACGGUCCAGACUCCUACGGGAGGCAGCAGUAGGGAAUCUUCCGCAAUGGGCGAAAGCAUGACGGAGCAACGCCGCGUGAGUGAUGAAGGUGUUCGGAUCGUAAAACUCUGUUAUUAGGGAAGAACAAAUGUGUAAGUAACUAUGCACGUCUUGACGGUACCUAAUCAGAAAGCCACGGCUAACUACGUG